rnacentral:rRNA from 1 species
UACGUAGGGUGCGAGCGUUGCUCGGAAUUACUGGGCGUAAAGCGUGCGCAGGCGGUGACGUAAGACCGUUGUGAAAUCCCCGGGCUCAACCUGGGAACUGCAUCUGUGACUGCAUCGCUGGAGUGCGGAAGAGGGGGAUGGAAUUCCGCGUGUAGCAGUGAAAUGCGUAGAUAUGCGGAGGAACACCGAUGGCGAAGGCAAUCCCCUGGGCCUGCACUGACGCUCAUGCACGAAAGCGUGGGGAGCAAACAGG